GAUGAACGCUGGCGGCGUGCCUAAUACAUGCAAGUCGAGCGAAUGGAUUAAGAGCUUGCUCUUAUGAAGUUAGCGGCGGACGGGUGAGUAACACGUGGGUAACCUGCCCAUAAGACUGGGAUAACUCCGGGAAACCGGGGCUAAUACCGGAUAACAUUUUGAACCGCAUGGUUCGAAAUUGAAAGGCGGCUUCGGCUGUCACUUAUGGAUGGACCCGCGUCGCAUUAGCUAGUUGGUGAGGUAACGGCUCAACAAGGCAACGAUGCGUAGCCGACCUGAGAGGGUGAUCGGCCACACUGGGACUGAGACACGGCCCAGACUCCUACGGGAGGCAGCAGUAGGGAAUCUUCCGCAAUGGACGAAAGUCUGACGGAGCAACGCCGCGUGAGUGAUGAAGGCUUUCGGGUCGUAAAACUCUGUUGUUAGGGAAGAACAAGUGCUAGUUGAAUAAGCUGGCACCUUGACGGUACCUAACCAGAAAACCACGGCUAACUACGUGCCAGCCGCCGCCGUAA
rnacentral:rRNA from 1 species